CACGUAGGGGGCGAGCGUUGUCCGGAUUUAUUGGGCGUAAAGAGCUCGUAGGCGGCUCAGUAAGUCGGGUGUGAAACCCCCGGGCUCAACCCGGGGACGCCACCCGAUACUGCUGUGGCUGGAGUCCGGUAGGGGAGCGUGGAAUUCCUGGUGUAGCGGUGAAAUGCGUAGAGAUCGGAAAGAACACCAACGGCGAAAGCACUCUGCUGGGCCGACACUGACACUGAGAGACGAAAGCUAGGGGAGCGAAUGGG
rnacentral:rRNA from 1 species